GUAUCAGCCGCCACGGUAAUACAGAGGGUGCAAGCGUUAAUCGGAAUUACUGGGCGUAAAGCGAGCGUAGGUGGCUUGAUAAGUCAGAUGUGAAAUCCCCGGGCUUAACCUGGGAACUACAUCUGAUACUGUUGAGCUAGAGUAGGUGAGAGGAAGGUAGAAUUCCAGGCGUAGCGGUGAAAUGCGUAGAGAUCUGGAGGAAUACCGAUGGCGAAGGCAGCCUUCUGGCAUCAUACUGACACUGAGGCUCGAAAGCGUGGGUAGCAAACAGAAUUAGAUACCCUGGUAGUCCACGCCGUAAACGAUGUCUACUAGUCGUUGGGUCCCUUGAGGACCUAGUGACGCAGCUAACGCAAUAAGUAGACCGCCUGGGGAGUACGGCCGCAAGGUUAAAACUCAAAGGAAUUGACGG
rnacentral:rRNA from 1 species